rnacentral:rRNA from 1 species
GUCGUCAGCUCGUGUCGUGAGAUGUUGGGUUAAGUCCCGCAACGAGCGCAACCCUUGUCAUUAGUUGCCAUCAUUUAGUUGGGCACUCUAAUGAGACUGCCGGUGACAAACCGGAGGAAAGGUGGGGAUGACGUCAAGUCCUCAUGGCCCUUAUGGGUAGGGCUUCACACGUCAUACAAUGGUCGGUACAGAGGGUUGCCAAGCCGCGAGGUGGAGCCAAUCCCUUAAAGCCGAUCGUAGUCCGGAUCGUAGUCUGCAACUCGACUACGUGAAGUCGGAAUCGCUAGUAAUCGCAGAUCAGCAUGCUGCGGUGAAUACGUUCCCGGGUCUU